rnacentral:rRNA from 1 species
UACGUAGGGGGCAAGCGUUGUCCGGAUUUAUUGGGCGUAAAGAGCGUGUAGGCGGCCAGGUAGGUCAGCUGUGAAAACUCGAGGCUCAACCUCGAGACGUCGGUUGAAACCACCUGGCUAGAGUCCGGAAGAGGAGAGUGGAAUUCCUGGUGUAGCGGUGAAAUGCGCAGAUAUCAGGAAGAACACCCGUGGCGAAGGCGGCUCUCUGGGACGGUACUGACGCUGAGACGCGAAAGCGUGGGGAGCGAUCCGG